rnacentral:rRNA from 1 species
AUGGCGCGAAAGAAUAAAAACUGUCACCCAAGUGGUGGUCAUGAAGGCGGGAUAGGUUCUGGUGCAUCAAGUACAGUCUCACACUGGAUUCCUGAAGUCCAAAAAAUUGUUCCCGGCGAAAGCUUUAAGCGCCCGAGAUUUGUUUCCGCUGGUGAAAGCAAUAGUGUGAAGGCAAACUAUUUUACACUAUUCACUUAUAAUGAAACUCUUUGCCGAUAUCAUGUAUUUAUACAUCCUAAGCCUACUUCAUCUGGCAUCAAUUGUCAUGAUACAAUUUGCAAGGCUGUAUGGGCAAUCAUGUUUGGGUGGGCGUCUUCCUGCAUGCAUAUGAUGGAAAUAAAAGCUUAUAUACAUCUUGUCCAUUUCCAUUUACUUAUGAGGCUUUUGAAUUAG